UAGUUUUUAAUGAACUACUAGAACCAAUUUAUAAGUACUCCCAAAAAAUUGUAUAUAAACGCAGAGGGAAUGAAGAACGAGAGGUCAGGUGAUUGAUGAUAAAAGAAACCGAACAAAAAAUGAAUAGAAAUCUUGUCAGUUGCUAGAAAAGCUUUAACGAAAGCUUACAAUCCAAAUUCUCUCACUAUCACUGAUAAACUAUUUUUUGCAGGUCUCUCUCUCUCUCUCUCUCUCUCUCUGUCGCCCAUGUUUUAAUUGUUCUAGACUAUCUUGUCUCUACAUAUACGAUGAUAUUUGUCCCCUUGCGUACGUAUAUUUUUGUGUGUUUUCGAGGUUUGUCAUGGUCAGUUGACGAGAAGUCAUUAAAAGAUGCUUUCUCUUCCUUUGGAGAUGUCUCACUGAAGGAACUACUACUUUGGCAAACCUGGUAAUAAUCCCAAAACACCACUACCUCGAUUAGUGCCUACUUGGGCUCUCAAAUUGUUAUGUGAACCACUUGUUCGAUGAAUUGUCUCGCUGAAUAUUUCAAUCAAUCCCUUUUGUUCAAUCUAAUCUGAUAGGCGGUGAUCUCUAAUUCAUUGGGAUGGUUGUGGUUUAGUGAGGAUAUUGUAUGAUAAAGACAGUGGCAGAUCGGUUUGUCAGUUUUUCUAAAGAAGAUGAGGCUGUUUCUGCAAAAGAUGCAAUGGAUUGGAAGGCAUUGUUAGGUCGUCCAUUGAGGAUAAGCUAUGCUCUGAAGGAGUUCGAGGCGGACCAGUCGGUGUCCCUCGCCUUCCAAAUGGAGGAGAUGGUGCCUCUAAUGGCAAUGCUUGAGCUUCUCCGAAUUUAUCUAGCAUAACGAGAGGGGAAGAUCAAAAUUAAAAAUAAAGAUUUUUGUUUCCAUAUUAUUGUAUGAUUGAUGAGCUUAUUUGUACAGGUGAGUUUGGCAAAACUAUCGUUGUUUUUAAA